UUCCAGUGGAACUCUGUCGGUCAUCUGCACCUUAUGACUUCUGAUCCCCACGGUACGGUCUGGCCAUCGCCUUAUCCCUCCAGUGGUAAUACUCGAGUAUACCGAAACGGUGGCCCAGGGUUCCAACCUACCCGACCGAGCCCAGUCCUGGCUCGAGUAGGUCAGUAACCAAGGGCAGGGCCCAAGUUCAGCUUAGAGCUUACAACAUGCACAGGUAACCAAGUAAUUCGACAAAAGGUAAAAUUCAUCAUUUGAGUAGGUCGAGUGAGGUAAAGUACACACUCGCCUAAUAAUGAUGGACAGCUUCAUAUAACAUGUGAUUCAUGAUAAUCAAGUAAUCAGGUGGUCAAGUAACCAAGUAAGUUGGUGAUCACGUAAGCAGAUAACCAAGUAAGCAAGUAACCAAAUAGAUUAGAAAACGGUAAGUAAACACGGGUUAACGGUAAACGGUAAACGGUUAACGGUAGUAAUUACGGUUAAUUGGUAGACAUAUGUCAUUUCAAUAGGCCGCCAUUGGCCGUUUUUCACUUUCACCACGUAAGAGUCGAGGAGAUUUACUCCAACCGACUUAUGCUUCCAUAGCAUAAUUAAUCAUUUAAACACAUCAUGUAAAUAUGCUCUCCAAACAUUUCAUAUCUAGUAUUUCAAGUAAUCACAUAAGUAUGCUCUUUAAGCAUUUCAUAUCGAAUAGUUCAAAUAUACCUACUUCAGGUGUUUCAUGUCGAGUAAUUCAAGUAUACAUUAUUCAAAUGUGCAUGAGUGUGGUAAAUACUUAAUGACCAUGGGUUAAGCAUGUCAUAGACUUAUUCCAAUUACGUAUUCCUAUAUGGAACACUCACCUAGUCAAAACAAGCGAGUAGUUCUUAAACAAGCGUCUUAGGUGUCCGCUCCGAGUUCCUCUGGGAGAUUCCCUCGAGUGCCUGAGCAAACAAUAAUCAACUACCACUCAAAAUCAUUCUAAUUAUCGAGGAAAAUUGUACACUAGUACAAUCUAAGAAAUUAAUGCAGAGACGAGUCUAAGAGUUCGUGUAACUCGAGGUUCAAAAGUGGGUUUUAAAAUACAAGACAAAUCUGAUUUCCAUCUUUGAAAUCAAAUGUAAAACGAUCAAAUGAUAUUGAAGGAAAAUGGAGAGUUUGAAACCCUUAGUUUCCUUUAAGUUAGAAAAUUCCAGAUUUAACAAGCAAUAUUUGAAAAAUCAUAUUUCACUCUCCACAAGUCCAAAAUUGGAAAACUUGGUACUGUUGGAAUCCUCUUUCAAAGUACUAAAAGUUCUUAGAAGACACUUUUCCACGAAUGUAAGUGAAAGGCACUCAAAUUUUGGCUCAAAGUUGGUAACUUGAAUUACCAAGACAGAUUUAAGUUGGUUUUUGGCCAACUUUAGAAAUUCGGAAAAAUUCACUUGUUUUGAACUAACCUUUGAAAUUUGGAAAUCAAUUAGUGUUGCAAUCCAAGAGUAUAACAAAACAAGCGGAACGAGAAACGGAGUUUCGAGCACCAAGAUAUAGUACCUCAAAGUUGCUGAAAAAGUUAAGACUGUUGGGCUAUUUUCCAGGUUUAAAACUAGAUUUGAAAUAUCAUUUGGUCAUCAAGUUGGCAUUAGAAAUACAUCAAACUUGGUACACUAAAUCUUCCAUGUGUGAACAACAUUUCUACUAAGUUUCGUACAAAAACUCUCACGGUAAGGUAGUCAUUAAAACAACCAAAGUUUAUGAAGAGUUUCAAGGUUAAACUACCUUCUCACUUUUCUUUCGUUUACAAACUUUUUGUACCAUGAAAUCAGUUCCAAAUCUCUCCAUUAUUGAAACCAAGAGUUCAUAAACAUCCACUGAGCAAUUUAAAGACCAUUGACAUCCAAAUUCUAGAAAUAAAACUCUCCAAAUCAGAUUUGACCAUUUGGCUAAGAGAAAACGAAAAGUUUUCCAGAUUCGAUGAGCAAAUUUUGUGACAUCAUUUGCAUAUCAAAAUGGUCUUAGAAUAUUACCAAAUUUUGUACAAUUAAACCUCCAUAUGAGGAUUACUCUUCUAUCAAAUUUCAUUUGAAAAUUCACACGGGAAGGUAGUUAACUAAACCAUCAAAGUUCAGGAAAUUUCCCAAGGUAAAACUUUCUUCUAGCUCUUCUUUCCUUUUUAAACAUUUUGUCCAAAGCAACCAACCCAAAUCUGGUUUAUUUGUGAAACAAAGUCCAAGGAACAUCUAAUCUAAAGUUUGGUAGAUGUCGGACAUCAAAGUUUCCAAAACAACAAGUCCCAAAUCAUUGUUAGUUACAAAUCUGUCCAAGUGGAAAAUUCUAUCACUGUAGCAGUUUCAAACUUUGGCCACAACUCACUCCAUUCAACUUGGAAUUGGGCGUGGUUGAUGGCGUUGGAAAGCUCUCUUCUAAAGCUGAAUUUUCUCAGAAGAAACCAUUUCAAAUUCCAUUCACAAAUAGCUCGUUUUUGAGCAUCAAGAAGCAAUUUCUGUCCUGUCUCCUGGAGAGCAACGAAACAGGACAGUGAUAUUCAAUCGAAUGGUGUGGCUCACUCAAGUGGAACCAGAAUGUGAAAUUGGUACCGAUGGAAAGCUAGGAAUGUCUAGUUUCCAAUGCCGCAAACGGCACUUGAUUUCGACAUCAGAACAAAGAGUUAUGGCCGUUACAAAAUGACUGCCUGGGCAAUACGGGAUUCAUUUUCCAGUUUUGCUAACUUUGGCAAUCAACUCAUUUGACCAACCAAAUCAUGUUAUUUUUCAAUGAAAUUUUGUACACACUUACAAUAAUAGAUAAACAACAUAAUCAAUUCAUUAGAAUCUCAAAAUCUGGCACGAAAACGGUCGGACAAGGCAGGGGUAAAACGGUCACUUUUGCUCCAAGCACCUCCUUUGAUUUUCUACCAACAAUACAACAUUAAUCUACUAAUAUAAGCACUAAACCACCAUUAAUUUCAUCAUCCAACAUCAAAUCAGCAACAACCCAAGAGUGGGAGUUCAUAGAGCCCACUUUCACAUUUUUCCAACAAUAUCAAGUCAUCUACUUACAUGCAAGUACUUAGAGAUGCAUAUCUACUACUAUAAAUCAAGUUUCAGGUGAUGGAUCAUGUUAUACCUUCUUAAUGUACUAGAUCAGAAUUUUUGGCCCUCAAAAUGCUCCAAGAAACCGUGAUUUCCAGCACCCUUUUGCAGCUCAAAAUGAUCUCCUAGUGUUAAGCUAAGUGUGGUGCAAGUUUGGUUGAAUUUGGAGAUGAUUUGGUGGUGGUUUUUGUGAGAAGAAAUUUUGAAACUUGGAGGUUGAGAGAGAGAGAGAGAUGGCCGGCUGCUUGGAGCUCAAGAGAGAGAGAGAGUGAUCAGAUUUUAGCUUCCAAGAGAAGAUAAUAACUUGUGGCCACAAAUCACCCAUUAGUCAACUCACAUUAGGGUGCGUUUGGCGCGAUUCGGCUCGAUUCCUCUUGCGUUUGUUUCACUAGUACACUAAACCUCUAAUGCACUUAUAUUCAUAUAAAUUAUUAUUCACUCUUAAUUGUCCCAAAAUAAGGGUCUAAAGUUCCUAAAUUAAAUCGCGCGCGUAAAACGCGUACUUCCAAUUUAAGCGCAAUAACGCGAAACUUCCGAGAAAUUCUUAUAACGAUAGUACUAAUAACUGUCACUUGAGUAUUUAAACAUUAAAAUGCCUAAUUUAGGUCCGUUGUACAUGUCUCCAAUAUUUCAAACCUAUUGUACUCUCAAUUAGUCAAGAUUUCCAAAGACGUGUUCACUAUUUUCACUAAACGAACUUCCGGAAAUUAAUUUUUUGAAACAAGUCAUUUUAAAAAUAUAAUGAAACUAUAUUUCCAUGUAAUUAGGUCUCAAGAGCUUAGAAAAUAAUAUUCGGAGUAAAAGACCAAAUAAAUAAUUAAAUAAGCUAGAAAUAGGAGAUUAAAUAAGUAAAUUUUGCGGGUCCUCACAACCUCCCCUCCUUAAAAGAAUUUCGUCCUCGAAAUUCAUACCUUCUGUAAUCUCAGACAACUCUGAACCGUGUGGUGUGUUCAUGUCAUGCGUUCUUUCAGAUGCCAUUGGUCGGUUUCUCCUUCCAUUGACUUGUCGAGGAACAGUUCCAUUUCCUUGUUGAGCAGUAGUUUCUCGUGGAUACCUCCUUGGACAGUCAUGAACUUUAUGAUUGGUACUCCCACAUCCCAUACACUUUCGUCCCUUUAGCCAACAGUUUUCUUCAGUGUGAUUCGUCCUUCCACAAUAUCCACAAGUCGGACGAGGUGUUGUGACCUGACUUGCUUGCGAGGUUUUCUUUGAUCGUGUUUGUCCUACUGAAGUCCCUCGUGACAUAGUUCCUUUUGGUUCCUUUAUCAUGAGUGGUGCAGGAAGUAACAGUCCUACUUCAUCCACUUCUUUUCUAACUUUGGGUGGUGGUCCAUUUUUUCCUAGUGUACUGUCAGAUGUAUCUCUUUUCCUUUUUUGAAAAGCUCUCAGUUGAGAUUUUGUGCUUUCUACCCUUUGCGCUUUUUCAAGAGCGUCACUAAAUGUUUCAACCUGUGCUGCGGCAAGGGCAUCUUGGAUUUCCAAAUCUAAUCCUUGGAUAAACCGUCUUAUUCUCUUCCGUUCAGUAGCCACCAAUUCUGGGGCAUAUGUAGAUAACUUCGUAAAGCGUGUUUCAUACUCAGCUACGCUUAAAGUUCCUUGACGAAGCUUUAUAAAAUCAUCUUCUCUCUUUUCUUGGACAAGUGGAGGAAGAAAUUUCUCAUUAAAUUCACGCACGAAGUUUAUCCAAAUUCUCGGAGUUUGAUCUCUUUCCCACUUGUUUCUUAUAACAUUCCACCAUGCUCGGGCUGCUCCUUCAAGUUGAAAUACAGCAAAUGUGACUUGUCUCUCCUCUGUGUAAUCCAAGGCAUCGAAUAUAUUUUUUAUAUUUUCUAACCAAUUCUCAGCCACCUCUGGAUCAGGCCCUCCAGCAAACUUGGGCGGAGAGAAUUUCUGAAACCGCUCUAAAGCUCGAUCCUCCCCUAUCUCUUGGUUUCCACGUUGGUUUCCUUGUCCAACACCUUGACCUUGUUGAGCUACCAAGAGCUCUAGGAUAUCCGUCAUGCGAGUUAAAACUUGUCCUAUCUGGUCAUUUCCUCUCCCAGUACUUAGCUCAACGUUUUGAUCGAUAUCGGACCCAUUAGCUACUCUUUCAUUUCGGGGUUGUCUAGGUUGACGUCCCUUUCGUUGUCCUCUAGUUUUCAUGUCCACAACUAAUCUAUACGCACAUGCAUAACCCUCACACUUAGUUAAAAUUGAACUACACUCAUAUACCAGUAGCAACAUUUAAAGGGGAUGAAGACACUUUCAUAAAUAACAUUAUCACUAUGCAAGUAAACACAAACUAGAGUUCAUUAAAUCAUAACACAAAUUAUGGUCAAGUAAAGUUCAUGCCAAGUCAAAGUCAAUAACAAAAAUAAACAAGUGAUUAUCACAAGUACAUUCAUCUCCAAGGCGCAAACUCUUAAGUUCUACUCCCAUCGUCUCACUAUGAAAGAUCACCAGUAGAGAUUCACUAGAUUAAUUGGAACUAGACGAUUCUCGUUCCCUAACAUGCUCGAUUUCAAUCCCAACACAAGGAUCUUUUGGGUUACGAUAUUUUUCAUCUUCCACUCUUAAUUAUUGUACCAUCUUAACCAAACAAUUAUUGGUUUCCUGUAACCAUUCACAUGAAAUAUCGAUUCAUUCUUAUUCCCCACAAAUGGAGAUAUAAAGUCCCUAUGGUUGCUUUCCACUCCCAAGUACUCGGGUUCAAGAAUCCAAAAUAGGAUAAUUCACAUCUCGAGCCGGCCGGUCCCAAGAGUAAAUCACCACAUUCGAGAUUCCUACCCAACAUACAUAUCAAAUUCCCUCCAAUUAUCAAGAUAAAGGUUUUACAACCUAUAACAUUCAUGAUUCACAACUUACAUUUCUAGAAGGGCACUUAAGUCUUUACUUAAUCACAUAGUAAGGACCAAACACCACUUGGCCCUAUCUUGCUCCUUUGUAGAGACCACGUGAAGUGGCUCUAAAUUUCAUCACUACAAGAAAUCAUUUAACUUUCAGAAUAGUCCCACAGUCCGGCAUCCUAAACAUUUAAGCCUAGGAUACACUACAAAAUCUGAAGCCUAAACUCUGAUACCAACUGUAACGCCCCCACUUCUCCCUAAGGCGAACCAAAGGGUAUCUGCGGGACGCCUGCCCAGCUCUCGCCAGGACUCACUACAAUCCAUCAUUCAAAAGUUUGAAAUAAUUUAAGUAACCUCAAUGCAUAAUUAAAGUACUCCAAAUAUCUCACACUUACAAUUAUGCAGCUUCCAAGCUUAAAUACAACCCAACGGAAAAGGGUACAAUAGCCAUCCGUUAUAAUAUAACUUAAAGUUUUCAAAAGAAAACAAUCUAGUACUACUCACGAGCACCCUUGGUCUCGAACCCUGUAAAAGAAAACCACAACGUGGGACGAGCUACAUAGCCCAGUGAGGUUCCAAGACACUCUAACAGUUCAAAUAAAUCAAGUAAAUUGGGUAUAUCAUAUGCAUGGUUCAAGGUUGCACAAUGGCAUGUUAUCAUGAGGUGAUAAUCAUUGUACGAGUAAUUUGAGACAUUUAUCAUGAGACAGGUAUCAUGAUAUAAGUACAUUGGUCAGGUUAAACAGGUCAUGAGAUAUCCACAGGCCAUAGUUCAGGAUUUCAUGUUGGCAUUCUGUAUGCAUGAAACAAUUAUCAUGUACAACGGCUAACAGAUACCGGUUUAGGAUACGUUGUUCCAGUGGGAACUCCUGUCGGUCAUUGCACCAUUAUGACUUCUGCCAUUCCCACGCGUACGGUCUGGCAUCGUCUUACUCCCUCCAGUGUAAUACUCGGAGGAUAUACCGAAACGGUGUAUGGCCAGGGGUUUCCAAACCUAACCACGACGAGACCCAGUCCUGGCCUCGAGUACUGGCAUCGGGUCAGUAACCAAGACGGCAGGGCCAAGUUCAGCUUAGAGCUUACAAGAUGCAAGGUAACGCAAGUUAAUUCGACAAAAGGUUUAAAUUCAUCAUUUGAGUAGGUCGAGUGAGGUAAAGUACACACUCGCCUAAUAAUGAUGGACAGCUUCAUAUAACAUGUGAUUCAUGAUAAUCAAGUAAUCAGGUGGUCACGUAACCAAGUAAGUUGGUGAUCACGUAAGCAGAUAACCAAGUAAGCAAGUAACCAAAUAGAUUAGAAAACGGUAAGUAAACACGGUAAACGGUUAACGGUAGUAAUUACGGUUAAUUGGUAGACAUAUGUCAUUUCAAUAGGCCGCCAUUGGCCGUUUUUUCACUUUCACCACGUAAGAGUCGAGGAGAUUU
rnacentral:lncRNA from 1 species